GCUGACUUGGGUUGGAGCCACCCUGGUCAGUAGCCUGGUUCCUGUGCACAUUCGGGUUGCCGCCGCUCACCCACAACACCUGUAGACACCGUGUGUCCAACUCUCCCUGAGUACUCCGGGCCAAGGAGGGCCAUGAUUCUUCAGGCUGGAACCCCCGAGACCAGCUUGCUGCGGGUUUUGUUCCUGGGACUGAGUACCCUUGCUGCCUUCUCCCGAGCUCAGAUGGAGUUGCACGUGCCCCCGGGCCUCAACAAAUUGGAAGCGGUAGAGGGAGAAGAAGUGGUGCUCCCCGCCUGGUACACGAUGGCACGGGAGGAGUCGUGGUCCCACCCCCGGGAGGUGCCCAUCCUGAUCUGGUUCUUGGAACAAGAAGGGAAGGAACCAAACCAGGUGUUGUCUUACAUUAAUGGAGUCAUGACAAAUAAACCUGGAACAGCCCUGGUCCACUCUAUCUCUUCACGGAAUGUGUCCCUGCGCCUGGGGGCACUCCAGGAGGGAGACUCUGGGACUUACCGCUGUUCUGUCAAUGUGCAGAAUGAUGAAGGCAAAAGUAUAGGCCACAGCAUCAAAAGCAUAGAGCUCAAAGUGCUGGUUCCUCCAGCUCCUCCAUCCUGUAGUUUACAGGGUGUACCCUAUGUCGGGACCAAUGUGACCCUGAACUGCAAGUCCCCAAGGAGUAAACCUACUGCUCAGUACCAGUGGGAGAGGCUGGCCCCAUCCUCCCAGGUCUUCUUUGGACCAGCCUUAGAUGCUGUUCGUGGAUCUUUAAAGCUCACUAACCUUUCCAUUGCCAUGUCUGGAGUCUAUGUCUGCAAGGCUCAAAACAGAGUGGGCUUUGCCAAGUGCAACGUGACCUUGGACGUGAUGACAGGUCAGUAAGGGGGUCCAAGGCUGCAGUGGUCGCUGGAGCAGUUGUGGGCACUUUUGUUGGGUUGGUGCUGAUAGCUGGGCUGGUCCUGUUGUACCAGCGCCGGAGCAAGACCUUGGAAGAGCUGGCCAAUGAUAUCAAGGAAGAUGCCAUUGCUCCCCGGACCUUGCCUUGGACCAAAGGCUCAGACACAAUCUCCAAGAAUGGGACACUUUCUUCGGUCACCUCAGCACGAGCUCUGCGGCCACCCAAGGCUGCUCCUCCAAGACCUGGCACAUUUACUCCCACACCCAGUGUCUCUAGCCAGGCCCUGUCCUCACCAAGACUGCCCAGGGUAGAUGAACCCCCACCUCAGGCAGUGUCCCUGACCCCAGGUGGGGUUUCUUCUUCUGCUCUGAGCCGCAUGGGUGCUGUGCCUGUGAUGGUGCCUGCACAGAGUCAGGCUGGGUCUCUUGUGUGAUAGCCCAGGCACUCAUUAGCUACAUCUGGUAUCUGACCUUUCUGUAAAGGUCUCCUUGUGGCACAGAGGACUCAAUCUUGGGAGGAUGCCCACAUUCUAGACCUCCAGUCCUUUGCUCCUACCUCCUUCUAUUGUUGGAAUACUGGGCCUCAGUAAGACUAAAAUCUGGGUCAAAGGACAAAAGGAGGAAAUGGACCUGAGGUAGGGGGUUGGGAGUGAGGAGGCUUCACUUCCUCCCUGCUUCUCCCUGAAGCCAGAUGAAUGCUGCGGAAGAUCGGCUACCCUCCAAGGGCUCUGGAGGAGACUGCCAGUCAGUGAUGCCCCUGGCUCUGUGAUCUGUACAACACCCUUAUCUAAUGCUGUCCUUUGCCGUUCGCUCCAUCUCCCUGUAUUAAUAUAACCUGUCCUGCUGGCUUGGCUGGGUUUUGUUGUAGCAGGGGGAUAGGAAAGACAUUUUAAAAUCUGACUUGAAAUUGAUGUUUUUGUUUUUAUUUUGCAAAUUUCAAUAAAGAUACAUCGCAUUUGCAUGGACAAGAA